GUUGAGACCAUGAGCCCACGUGGGACCUCCAAAGAACUUGAAAAUCCCCGACAAUGCAAGCAAGGCUGUGGUGAAUUAAAGUUGAACCACAUACUUGGAGAGACGAUGUCAUUGACUUCCGCAACGAUGAUCAAGGUGGAGAAUACCCGCUAGAGAGAGUGGGAGAACUUCUAGCACCACUCGACAGCCAGAUCAUUAACCAUGUAAGAGAGUUCUUAAGCCUUCGAAUUAGCAUGUGUGGACAUUUGAUUGAAUCAACUCCUCCUUUUAGUUGAAAGAGGA